AGCGUAGACGGCACGGCAAGCCAGAUGUGAAAGCCCGGGGCUCAACCCCGGGACUACAUUUGGAACUGCUGAGUUAGAGUGUCGGAGAGGCAAGUGGAAUUCCUAGUGUAGCGGUGAAAUGCGUAGAUAUUAGGAGGAACACAAGUGGCGAAGGCGGCUUACUGGACGGUAACUGACGUUGAGGCUCGAAGGCGUGGGGAGCAAACA
rnacentral:rRNA from 1 species